UGGCGGAGCAGAAUCCUCAGCGCGGGUGUUCUGGUCUGCCCUGACCCUACCAUGGGCCCCAGGCUGCUCUGCUGGGUGGCCCUCUGCCUCCUCGGAGCAGGCCCUUUGGACACAGCUGUUUUUCAGACUCCAAAAUAUCUCAUCUCACAAGUCGGAAAUAAAAAGACAAUUAAAUGUGAACAAAAGCUGGGCUACGAUGCUAUGUACUGGUAUAAGCAGGACUCUAAGAAAUCAUUGAAGAUUUUGUUUUGCUACAAUAAUAAGGAACUCAUUUUAAACGAAACAGUCCCAAGUCGCUUCUCACCUGAAUCUCCAGACAAAGCCCAUUUAAAUCUUCAUGUCAGGUCCCUGGAGCGAGAUGACUCUGCCGUGUAUCUCUGUGCCAGCAGUCUAGACACAGCCUUGCAGAGUCACUGCCUCCCUGUGCACAAACCUCUUGUCCCAGCCAGGAAGCUGUGGGGACAACGUGCUCACCUGCUCCACAAGUCUGUGCUGUGUUCCCCCACUCCCUGUGUGGGCUGGGUAGAGUUCUAUCCAUCAGGAUAGCCAAGAGGGAGUCCCACACUUUCUGCACACCCCACUUAUCAUCACAGUCACAUACUUUAAAUGAUGGCAUUGGUCCAGAAAGGGACUGUGGUCAUCCUGUUGUCCUCCUUCCGCAAAACUGGGCCAGCAGGCUCGGGCACAGAAGGAAACAGGUUUUGA